UACGGAGGGGGCGAGCGUUAUUCGGAAUUAUUGGGCGUAAAGGGCGCGUAGGCGGCUCGAUAAGUCAAAGGUGAAAUCCCUCGGCUCAACUGAGGAACUGCCUUUGAAACUGUCGAGCUCGAGUCCGGGAGGGGGUAGCGGAAUUCCCAGUGUAGCGGUGAAAUGCGUAGAUAUUGGGAGGAACACCAGUGGCGAAAGCGGCUACCUGGACCGGAACUGACGCUGAUGCGCUAAAGCGUGGGUAGCAAACAGGAUUAGAUACCCUGGUAGUCCACGCUGUAAACGAUGGGUGCUCGGUGUCGCGGGUAUCGACCCCUGCGGUGCCUUAGCUAACGCGUUAAGCACCCCGCCUGGGGAGUACGGUCGCAAGGCUGAA
rnacentral:rRNA from 1 species